rnacentral:rRNA from 1 species
CCUACGGGAGGCAGCAGUGGGGAAUAUUGCACAAUGGGGGAAACCCUGAUGCAGCGACGCCGCGUGGGUGACGAAGUAUUUCGGUAUGUAAAGCCCUAUCAGCAGGGAAGAAGAUGACAGUACCUGACUAAGAAGCCCCGGCUAACUACGUGCCAGCAGCCGCGGUAAUACGUAGGUGGCAAGCGUUGUCCGGAUUUACUGGGUGUAAAGGGCGUUCAGCCGGAUAGACAAGUCAGAUGUGAAAUCCACGGGCUCAACCCGUGAACUGAAUUUGAAACUGUUUACCUUGAGUGUCGGAGAGGUAAUCGGAAUUCCUUGUGUAGCGGUGAAAUGCGUAGAUAUAAGGAAGAACACCAGUGGCGAAGGCGGAUUACUGGACGAUAACUGACGGUGAGGCGCGAAAGCGUGGGGAGCAAACAGGAUUAGAUACCCUUGUAGUC